ensembl:snoRNA
AUCCUUUUGUAGUUCAUGAUGAUUGGGUGUUCAUGCCGUUGUGUGAGAUGUACCUCCCUCAAACCUUGUUACAACAUCGGCACAUUACCUGUUUGACA